GACGGGGGCCCGCACAAGCGGUGGAGCAUGUGGUUUAAUUCGAUGAUACGCGAGGAACCUUACCUGGGCUCAAAUGUAUGUUGACGUAUUCUGAAAGGGAUACUUCUUCGGACAAUAUACAAGGUGCUGCAUGGUUGUCGUCAGCUCGUGCCGUGAGGUGUCGGGUUAAGUCCCAUAACGAGCGCAACCCCUAUCAUUAGUUGCCAUCAGGUCAAGCUGGGGACUCUAAUGAAACUGCCUACGCAAGUAGUGAGGAAGGUGGGGAUGACGUCAAAUCAGCACGGCCCUUACGUCCAGGGCUACACACGUGCUACAAUGGCCGGUACAAAGGGCAGCUACCUGGCGACAGGAUGCUAAUCUCCAAAACCACUCUCAGUUCGGAUCGGAGUCUGCAACUCGACUCCGUGAAGCUGGAUUCGCUAGUAAUCGCGCAUCAGCCACGGCGCGGUGAAUACGUUCCCGGGCCUU
rnacentral:rRNA from 1 species